rnacentral:tRNA from 1 species
GGAGGUGAAUCCGGCCUGGUGGUCGGCCUGGACUUCAAAUCCAGUUUGGGAUUCGGCGGGAGCCGGGUUCGGUGGGUUCGAUUCCCAUGCACCUCCGCCA